rnacentral:misc_RNA from 1 species
GAUGAAGAACGUAGCGAAAUGCGAUAAGUAAUGUGAAUUGCAGAAUUCCGUGAAUCAUCGAAUCUUUGAACGCACAUUGCGCCCUCUGGUAUUCCGGGGGGCAUGCCUGUCCGAGCGUCAUUUGCAACCCUCAAGCCCGGCUUGUGUGAUGGGUGCCGUCCCCUACGGGACGCGCCCCGAAGGCAAUGGCGGCGUCGCGGUUAUCCGAUCAGCCAAAGUGUAUGGGGCUUUGUCACUCACUUUACGGCCCGGACCGGCGCCAGUCCGAAUCAAUCUUUUUUCUAAAGUUGACCUCGGAUCAGGUAGGGAUACCCGCUGAACUUAAGCAUAUCAUAAGCGGAGGA